GUCAGCAUGGUGCAGUGGUCUGAGCGUUGGACUAUGACUCUGGAGACCAGGGUUCAAUUCACAGCUUGGCCA
rnacentral:tRNA from 1 species